ensembl:snRNA U6 U6 spliceosomal RNA
GUGCUCCCUUCAGCAGCUCAUAUACUAAAAUGGGACGAUACAGAGAAGAUUAGCAUCACCCCUGAACAAGGAUGACACACAAAUUCAUGAAGCACUCCAUAUUUUU